rnacentral:rRNA from 1 species
GGUCAAGUGAAGAAGCGCAUACGGUGGAUGCCUUGGCAGUCAGAGGCGAUGAAAGACGUGGUAGCCUGCGAAAAGCUUCGGGGAGUCGGCAAACAGACUUUGAUCCGGAGAUGUCUGAAUGGGGGAACCCAGCCAUCAUAAGAUGGUUAUCUUGUACUGAAUACAUAGGUGCAAGAGGCGAACCAGGGGAACUGAAACAUCUAAGUACCCUGAGGAAAAGAAAUCAACCGAGAUUCCCUUAGUAGUGGCGAGCGAACGGGGACUAGCCCUUAAGUGGCUUUGAGAUUAGCGGAACGCUCUGGAAAGUGCGGCCAUAGUGGGUGAUAGCCCUGUACGCGAAAAUCUCUUAGUCAUGAAAUCGAGUAGGACGGAGCACGAGAAACUUUGUCUGAAUAUGGGGGGACCAUCCUCCAAGGCUAAAUACUACUGACUGACCGAUAGUGAACUAGUACCGUGAGGGAAAGGCGAAAAGAACCCCGGAGAGGGGAGUGAAAUAGAUCCUGAAACCGUAUGCGUACAAGCAGUGGGAGCCCACUUUGUUGGGUGACUGCGUACCUUUUGUAUAAUGGGUCAGCGACUUAUUUUCAGUGGCGAGCUUAACCGAAUAGGGGAGGCGUAGCGAAAGCGAGUCUUAAUAGGGCGUCUAGUCGCUGGGAAUAGACCCGAAACCGGGCGAUCUAUCCAUGGGCAGGUUGAAGGUUGGGUAACACUAACUGGAGGACCGAACCGACUACCGUUGAAAAGUUAGCGGAUGACCUGUGGAUCGGAGUGAAAGGCUAAUCAAGCUCGGAGAUAGCUGGUUCUCCUCGAAAGCUAUUUAGGUAGCGCCUCAUGUAUCACUGUAGGGGGUAGAGCACUGUUUCGGCUAGGGGGUCAUCCCGACUUACCAAACCGAUGCAAACUCCGAAUACCUACAAGUGCCGAGCAUGGGAGACACACGGCGGGUGCUAACGUCCGUCGUGAAAAGGGAAACAACCCAGACCGUCAGCUAAGGUCCCAAAGUUAUGGUUAAGUGGGAAACGAUGUGGGAAGGCUUAGACAGCUAGGAGGUUGGCUUAGAAGCAGCCACCCUUUAAAGAAAGCGUAAUAGCUCACUAGUCGAGUCGGCCUGCGCGGAAGAUGUAACGGGGCUCAAACCAUACACCGAAGCUACGGGUAUCACGUAAGUGAUGCGGUAGAGGAGCGUUCUGUAAGCCUGUGAAGGUGAGUUGAGAAGCUUGCUGGAGGUAUCAGAAGUGCGAAUGCUGACAUGAGUAACGAUAAUGGGUGUGAAAAACACCCACGCCGAAAGACCAAGGUUUCCUGCGCAACGUUAAUCGACGCAGGGUUAGUCGGUCCCUAAGGCGAGGCUGAAAAGCGUAGUCGAUGGAAAACAGGUUAAUAUUCCUGUACUUCUGGUUAUUGCGAUGGAGGGACGGAGAAGGCUAGGCCAGCUUGGCGUUGGUUGUCCAAGUUUAAGGUGGUAGGCUGGAAUCUUAGGUAAAUCCGGGAUUCUAAGGCCGAGAGCUGAUGACGAGUUA